CCUAGGCUCUCAGAGGCGAAGAAGGACGUGAUAAGCUGCGAAAAGCUGCGGGGAUCCGCAAAUAGGAAUUGAUCCGCAGAUGUCCGAAUGGGGCAACCCACCACGUUGAAGACGUGGUAUUCCGAGCAAUCGGGAAGCAAACCCAGGGAACUGAAACAUCUAAGUACCUGGAGGAGGAGAAAAUAAACUAAUGAUUGCGCAAGUAGUGGCGAGCGAACGCGCAGGAGCCCAAAACCCAAUUAGUUAAGGCUAGUUGGGGGUUAUAGGACUACAUAAUCAAAAUCGAACUAGAUUUGAACGGUAUGGGAAAGCCGGCCAUAGAGGGUGAUAGCCCCGUAAGAGAAAGGAGAGAGGAGAGGUAGUAUCCUGAGUAGGGCGGGGUCGGAGACGCCCCGUUGAAAUUGCCGGCACCAUCCGGUAAGGCUAAAUACUCCUGAGAGACCGAUAGUGAACCAGUACUGUGAAGGAAAGGUGAAAAGUACUCCGAAUAGGA
rnacentral:rRNA from 1 species